rnacentral:rRNA from 1 species
AUUGAACGCUGGCGGCAUGCCUUACACAUGCAAGUCGAACGGUAACAGGUCUUCGGAUGCUGACGAGUGGCGAACGGGUGAGUAAUACAUCGGAACGUGCCCGAUCGUGGGGGAUAACGGAGCGAAAGCUUUGCUAAUACCGCAUAAGAUCUAAGGAUGAAAGCAGGGGACCGCAAGGCCUUGCGCGAACGGAGCGGCCGAUGGCAGAUUAGGUAGUUGGUGGGAUAAAAGCUUACCAAGCCGACGAUCUGUAGCUGGUCUGAGAGGACGACCAGCCACACUGGGACUGAGACACGGCCCAGACUCCUACGGGAGGCAGCAGUGGGGAAUUUUGGACAAUGGGCGCAAGCCUGAUCCAGCCAUGCCGCGUGCAGGAUGAAGGCCUUCGGGUUGUAAACUGCUUUUGUACGGAACGAAAGGACUCUUUCUAAUAAAGAGAGUCCAUGACGGUACCGUAAGAAUAAGCACCGGCUAACUACGUGCCAGCCGCCGCGGUAACAC